rnacentral:rRNA from 1 species
UUAUGGCUCAGGAUGAACGCUGGCGGCGUGCCUAAUACAUGCAAGUCGAACGCAUACUUCGGUAGUGAGUGGCGAACGGGUGAGUAACACGUAGGUAACUUACCUCUAAGACGAGGAUAACGACUGGAAACGGUCGCUAAAACUGGAUAGGAUCAUUCGAGGCAUCUCGAAUGAUUUAAAGGGGCCUUCAAGCCACACUUAGAGAAAGGCCUGCGGCGCAUUAGCUAGUUGGUGGGGUAGAGGCCUACCAAGGCGAUGAUGCGUAGCCGGACUGAGAGGUCGAACGGCCACAUUGGGACUGAGACACGGCCCAGACUCCUACGGGAGGCAGCAGUGGGGAAUAUUGCACAAUGGGGGAAACCCUGAUGCAGCCAACGCCGCGUGAGUGAUGACGGUCUUCGGAUUGUAAAGCUCUGUCUUCAGGGACGAUAAUGACGGUACCUGAGGAGGAAGCCACGGCUAACUACGUGCCAGCAGCCGC